rnacentral:rRNA from 1 species
UACGUAGGCGGGCAGCUAAGUCAGUGGUGAAAGUCUGCAGCUCAACUGUAGAAUUGCCAUUGAUACUGGUUGUCUUGAAUUAUUAUGAAGUGGUUAGAAUAUGUAGUGUAGCGGUGAAAUGCAUAGAUAUUACAUAGAAUACCAAUUGCGAAGGCAGAUCACUAAUAAUAUAUUGACGCUGAUGGACGAAAGCGUGGGGAGCGAACAGGAUUAGAUACCCUGGUAGUCC